UUAAUGAAUAGGUAAUGAAAGAAAUGCUGCAUUUACAACUUCAUUACUAGUAAAAAAAAUACAGCAGUAAAUUUGAAUUAUAGUAGCUGUCAUUUUUAGAACAUGCUGAAGAUCAUGCAGGAAUUUCAAGGCUGUCAUUCUGAAGUGACAAAGUAAAUACAAGCAGAAAAAUAUACCAGGCACUCUUGUUUUUAAUUCCACUCUCCAGUUUGUUCUGCUAUUCAUAAUUUUCUGAUAAGGAGUAAAAGCUUAAGUAAUAAAACAAGGUCAUCGUGGGAUGAUGGGGCAGGCACAGUUUGAGACAAGUUGUGUACUUGUGAACAUGUGUACCAGCCCUAGUGAAUUCUAAUGACUUGAUUCGUCUUAUUUUAAUUACAUAAAUCACCGAAGUGCUGACUUCUAUAGGUAUUACUUUCUGGGGAGAUAUAAAAUGCAUCACGGACCGGAGAUGAUGUUUACCUGCGGUAAAGGACUGGAAAGAGACUUUGAGUGGUACGGCACAUGGAGAACAGAUCAUCAGAGGCAGCCAGGAUGUGCCUGGAGGAUCAGAGCUCCUGGAGCAAAGAGGAACCUCCAGAAAACACCCAAAUUUACUCCUUAAAUGCCUCUUGGACAUGAGUGCUAUUCCUGUGGGGCAGGCUCAGAACCAGGACAGUCCUGUCGCCAGUCGCCCUGUGACAGUCACCUCGGAGCGAUGCCGCAGAGCCCCUGGGAGCCCACCCGUUCAUUUCCCUGCACUGACAGCAGGUCAGGUGCUUCCCCAGGGCAGGAAGAUUUUGAGAGGGGUCAGAAACCACCAGCAAGGCAUAGAAGGGACGUUGGGAUGGGAUGAGACAACUCAGUCUCUGCUCCUUGGAUACGACACCAAAUAAUCUGAUAAAGCAACAUCUUAUAAACAGCUACAUCUCUCCUUCUGCUGCUCCUGCCGAAAGGCACGUCGUGUCUCUGAAGGCUGGGAAUCCAAUUUUGAUCAGAAAGCUUAUUAAUGAUCACUUUAUAUCCAUUUGUUUUUCUGUCAACAUCGUUAGCUCCUUUUCCCUCACUUGUUUUUGUUCCCUUGGCAGUUAGCAGUGAGCAAUCAUAUCCUAUCUCAGCAUUUAUUUUGCUGGCCUAAAUGACCCGGGCUCUUUUAUUGUCUCCUUGUAAUUGUGGCUCCCCUGCAGACAGGAAUACCUUCCUAGCGCUGCUCCAGCUACCUUCCUGGCAUUGUGGGGGGCUCAGAGUCCCCCCCCAGGGACUCCCUGCUAUGGCCAGUUUGUUUUUCCAUCCGUGUCUCCCUAACCCAGAAGACAUUGUCACUGUUUGUCCCUAAGCACGCACAUUUAACCUCUCCCUUUUCUGCUAUUCCAGCCCCAAAUUCCCUGCAGACAACCUAGCAAGUUCCUGUGCUGCUGCUGAUUUUAAUAUUGUGCUAUCUGCAAACUCGGUUAGCAUGGGCCUCUUCCCCAAGGUCAUUCAUGGAAAUAUGAAACAAGGUAGUGUCAAGACCAGUCUUGGGGGAAUUCUGGGGGUGACCUCCUUCUGACUUGAUGCCUUCCCUUUUAGUGCUAUCUGUUUCCAUUUCCACCUGUUGCUCCUUCUUAUCAACCUUUCUGUUUUUUUUUACUAAUCUCCACUGCCUCCAGUCCCACUGAUAAUUUCCCAUGUGGUGCUAUAUCAAAUGCUUCGCUGAAGUCCAUAAAGAUGAGACCUAUUGCAUUUUCUUUGUCAAGAAAAUCAGUCACCCUAUCAGAGAAAGAUAUCAGGUUAGCAUGGCACGUGGUGCCAAAGGACAAGAAAAUGUAUUUAAUUCUAUUUUCCAUUUAUAUCCUCUUUUACAAAUGAUUUAAUUCA
rnacentral:lncRNA from 1 species